rnacentral:rRNA from 1 species
GAUGAACGCUGGCGGCGUGCCUAAUACAUGCAAGUCGAGCGAACGGACGAGAAGCUUGCUCCUCUGAUGUUAGCGGCGGACGGGUGAGUAACACGUGGAUAACCUACCUAUAAUACUGGGAUAACUUCGGGAAACCGUAGCUAAUACCGCAUAAUAUUUUGAACCGCAUGGUUCAAAAGUGAAAGACGGUUUUGCUGUCACUUAUAGAUGGAUCCGCGCUGCAUUAGCUAGUUGGUAAGGUAACGGCUUACCAAGGCAACGAUGCAUAGCCGACCUGAGAGGGUGAUCGGCCACACUGGAACUGAGACACGGUCCAGACUCCUACGGGAGGCAGCAGUAGGGAAUCUUCCGCAAUGGGCGAAAGCCUGACGGAGCAACGCCGCGUGAGUGAUGAAGGUCUUCGGAUCGUAAAACUCUGUUAUUAGGGAAGAACAUAUGUGUAAGUAACUGUGCACAUCUUGACGGUACCUAAUCAGAAAGCCACGGCUAACUACGUG